rnacentral:rRNA from 1 species
UCGAGAAUCUUCCGCAAUGGGCGAAAGCCUGACGGAGCGACGCCGCGUGUAGGAUGAAGGCCCUCGGGUUGUAAACUACUGUCACGGGUUAUGAAUGUGCAUAUGUUAACAGCGUGUGUAUUGACGUAAGCCCGAAAGGAAGCACCGGCUAACUCUGUGCCAGCAGCCGCGGUAAUACAGAGGGUGCAAACGUUGUUCGGAAUUACUGGGCAUAAAGCGCGCGUAGGCGGCGACGUAAGUGUAGGGUGAAAUCCCACGGCUCACCCGUGUGAAUUGCCCCGCAUACUGCGUUGCUCGAGUGUGGUAGGGGAGAGCGGAACUCCUGGUGGAGCGGUGAAAUGCGUAGAUAUCAGGAGGAACACCGGUGGCGUAGGCGGCUCUCUGGUCCAUAACUGACGCUGAAGUGCGAAAGCUAGGGUAGCGAACGGGAUUACAUACCCACGUAGUCCCUGAGCGGGCUGGCAAGGCGCAU